CCGGUCACGAACGCUGGUACAUCUGACGAAGGAAAUCUUUGAUUACUGCCUCCCACGCAACAUCACUAUACGCGCAGAACACCUACCAGGGGAGUCGAACCUCACGGCGGACUUGUACUCCCGACACUGGAGGAACGCCAGCGACUGGCAGUUGAACCUGCGGAUAUUCGCUCACCUACACGAACAGAAAGGACCCUUUUU